UGUGCAGGCGGUUGCUUAAGUUUGGUGUGAAAUCUCCCGGCUCAACCGGGAGGGUGCGCCGAAUACUGAGCGGCUAGAGUGCGGGAGAGGAGAGUGGAAUUCCUGGUGUAGCGGUGAAAUGCGUAGAUAUCAGGAGGAACACCGGUGGUGCAGACGGCUCUCUGGACCGUGACUGACGCUGAGACACGAAAGCGUGGGUAGCAAACAGGAUUAGAUACCCUGGUAGUCCACGCCCUAAACGAUGCAUAUUUGGUGUGGGUCAUUCAGUUGAUCCGUGCCGGAGCUAACGCGUUAAAUAUGCCGCCUGGGGAGUACAGUCGCAAGGCUGAA
rnacentral:rRNA from 1 species